UGGGGAAUCUUGGACAAUGGGCGCAAGCCUGAUCCAGCCAUGCCGCGUGAGUGAAGAAGGCCUUAGGGUUGUAAAGCUCUUUUGGCAGGGACGAUAAUGACGGUACCUGCAGAAUAAGCCCCGGCAAACUUCGUGCCAGCAGCCGCGGUAAUACGAAGGGGGCUAGCGUUGUUCGGAUUUACUGGGCGUAAAGCGCACGUAGGCGGAUUGUUAAGUCAGGGGUGAAAUCCCGGAGCUCAACUCCGGAACUGCCUUUGAUACUGGCAAUCUUGAGGCUGGAAGAGGUUGGUAGAAUUCCCAGUGUAGAGGUGAAAUUCGUAGAUAUUGGGAAGAAUACCAGUGGCGAAGGCGGCCAACUGGUCCAGAUCUGACGCUGAGGCGCGAAAGCGUGGGGAGCAAACA
rnacentral:rRNA from 1 species